GAUGAACGCUGACAGAAUGCUUAACACAUGCAAGUCAACUUGAACUUCGGUUUGGGUGGCGGACGGGUGAGUAACGCGUAAAGAACUUGCCUCACAGAUAGGGACAACAUUUGGAAACGAAUGCUAAUACCUGAUAUUAUGAUUAUAUGGCAUCGUAUAAUUAUGAAAGCUAUAUGCGCUGUGAGAGAGCUUUGCGUCCCAUUAGCUAGUUGGAGAGGUAACGGCUCACCAAGGCGAUGAUGGGUAGCCGGCCUGAGAGGGUGAUCGGCCACAAGGGGACUGAGACACGGCCCUUACUCCUACGGGAGGCAGCAGUGGGGAAUAUUGGACAAUGGACCAAGAGUCUGAUCCAGCAAUUCUGUGUGCACGAUGAAGCUUUUCGGAAUGUAAAGUGCUUUCAGUUGGGAAGAAAAAAAUGACGGUACCAACAGAAGAAGUGACGGCUAAAUACGUG
rnacentral:rRNA from 1 species